CCUACGGGUGGCAGCAGUGGGGAAUUUUGGACAAUGGGCGCAAGCCUGAUCCAGCUAUUCCGCGUGUGGGAUGACGGCCUUCGGGUUGUAAACCACUUUUGUAGAGAACGAAAAGUCUGUUGAUAAUACCGAUCGAUGAUGACGGUACUCUACGACUAAGCACCGGCUAACUACGUGACAGCAGCCGCGGUAAUACGUUGGGUGCGAGCGUUAAUCGGAAUUACUGGGCGUAAAGGGUGUGCGGGCGGGUUUGCAAGAUGGAUGUGCAAGCGCCGGGCUUAACCUGGGAAAGCCAUACAUUACUGCAAGACUAGAGUGCGUCAGAGGGGGGUGGAAUUCCAAGUGUAGCAGUGAAAUGCGUAGAUAUUUGGAAGAACACCGAUGGCGAAGGCAGCCCCCUGGGACGCAACUGACGCUCAUACACGAAAGCGUGGGGAGCAAACAGGAUUAGAUACCCUAGUAGUC
rnacentral:rRNA from 1 species